GAUGAACGCUGGCGGCGUGCCUAAUACAUGCAAGUCGAGCGAACAGAUGAGGAGCUUGCUCCUCUGACGUUAGCGGCGGACGGGUGAGUAACACGUGGAUAACCUACCUAUAAGACUGGGAUAACUUCGGGAAACCGGAGCUAAUACCGGAUAAUAUAUUGAACCGCAUGGUUCAAUAGUGAAAGACGGUUUUGCUGUCACUUAUAGAUGGAUCCGCGCCGCAUUAGCUAGUUGGUAAGGUAACGGCUUACCAAGGCAACGAUGCGUAGCCGACCUGAGAGGGUGAUCGGCCACACUAGAACUGAGACACGGUCCAGACUCCUACGGGAGGCAGCAGUAGAGAAUCUUCCGCAAUGGGCGAAAGCCUGACGGAGCAACGCCGCGUGAGUGAUGAAGGUAUUAGGAUCGUAGAACUCUGUUAUUAGGGAAGAACAAAUGUGUAAGUAACUAUGCACGUCUUGACAAUACCUAAUCAGAAAGCCACGGCUAACUACGUG
rnacentral:rRNA from 1 species